rnacentral:tRNA from 1 species
GCUCCUUUAGCUCAGUGGUAGAGCGGGCGAUUGCAGUAAUGUCAAUUCAUCGCCAGGUCGAUUGUUCGAACCAGUCAGGGAGCU